rnacentral:rRNA from 1 species
CCUACGGGUGGCUGCAGUGGGGAAUAUUGGACAAUGGGGGGAACCCUGAUCCAGCCAUGCCGCGUGUGUGAAGAAGGCCCUCGGGUUGUAAAGCACUUUCAGUGAGGAAGAACGCCUGGUGGUUAAUACCCAUCAGGAAAGACAUCACUCACAGAAGAAGCACCGGCUAACUCCGUGCCAGCAGCCGCGGUAAUACGGAGGGUGCGAGCGUUAAUCGGAAUUACUGGGCGUAAAGCGCGCGUAGGUGGCUUGAUAAGCCGGUUGUGAAAGCCCCGGGCCCAACCUGGGAACGGCAUCCGGAACUGUCAAGCUAGAGUGCAGGAGAGGAAGGUAGAAUUCCCGGUGUAGCGGUGAAAUGCGUAGAGAUCGGGAGGAAUACCAGUGGCGAAGGCGGCCUUCUGGACUGACACUGACACUGAGGUGCGAAAGCGUGGGUAGCAAACAGGAUUAGAUACCCCGGUAGUC